rnacentral:rRNA from 1 species
UACGAAGGGGGCUAGCGUUGCUCGGAAUCACUGGGCGUAAAGGGUGCGUAGGCAGGUCUUUAAGUCAGGGGUGAAAUCCUGGAGCUCAACUCCAGAACUGCCUUUGAUACUGAGGAUCUUGAGUUCGGGAGAGGUGAGUGGAACUGCGAGUGUAGAGGUGAAAUUCGUAGAUAUUCGCAAGAACACCAGUGGCGAAGGCGGCUCACUGGCCCGAUACUGACGCUGAGGCACGAAAGCGUGGGGAGCAAACAGG